UUAGAUUUUCUUCUGAAAUUUUUCUUGAAUUUUUCUUGUUGAAGGUCGAUGGAUAUGAUAUGAAGAUGAAGAAGAGGAGAAG
rnacentral:pre_miRNA from 1 species